UAGUUAUUAUUAAGUGUUAUUACAGUUGCAUUCUCCUCUUGUAUCACAGAAAGCUCUGAUAAAAUAUACACUUUUAUUUUCUAUCUGGACAUUUUGGAUAAAAAGAUCAUCAUCACUCAUAUCUGGUAGGUUUACCUUUGCACAGAGUCAGGCUAGCUGUUUCCAGUCUUUGUGCUAAGCUAAGCUAGCUGACCCCAUGUUUCCAGUCUAUAUGCUAAGCUAGGAUAGCUGUUUCCCCGUUUAUAGUCUUUAUGCUAAGCUAAAAACUGCAUAACAAGAUAACUUCAUAUUUAGCGUACACACCUGAAAGUUGGAUUGGUUUGAACAAUAACUCUCAGACAGAAAUCUAAUUAGUGUGUUGAU